rnacentral:lncRNA from 1 species
GAGGUUUCUUUUGAGAAGUGUGGAGAGGUCAGCAAGCCUUGGCUUCCACCCUGUGGGGUCCGCAGCCUGCAGGCCCUGAGCACCUGCCCUGGACGAACAGGGUCCCUUCAGCUUCCCUGUCUCAGCCAGGGGCAGGUCAAGCAAAGAAGAUCAUGAGAAUGCAGUGGCCGGAGGACAGGCAGAGAGGACAGCAGGCCCAGCGGUGGUCAAGGAGAAGAGGACAAUUAUGGCUGGAGGGCAGAGCAUGGCCAGCAGGUGUAGAGGGAAGAAGCAAGGAUAGACUGGCCAGAGAGCCGAGUGAGUCCUGUCUGCCUUAGCCAGAGGCACUAGAAGCACACAACUGGGGCAGUGUGAUAUUCUUCAAGAUGAAUUACACAACCACACAGGUGAGCAAAGCUUCUCCACAGCCAUGCCUGAAAAUAUCUCUGUGUAUGAUAACAAGUAUUGACUGGGAUCCAGGCUCUAUAAUGGCAGUCAGGAGAUGCUUGGACUUGGGGUCUGAAUCUUAAAGCAAGAGCCAAGGGCAAUGGUUUUUAACCUUGACUGCACAAUAAAAUCACCAGUGCAGUUUUUGGUUUUGCUUUAAAAAAAAAAACAAAAAACAAAAAAAACGAUGCCUGUGUCCUAUCCCUAGAGACACAGUUUAACUAGAAGAGGGUGGGGCUCAGGCAUCAGUAUUAU